GGCCUCGUGGCCUAAUGGAUAAGGCGUCUGACUUCGAAUCAGACGAUUGCGAGUUCGAAUCUUGUCGAGGUCG
rnacentral:tRNA from 1 species